rnacentral:lncRNA from 1 species
CAUAUACCUUACUCUUUUGUGAAGUGGGAAUACACUUUCAGCUGCAGUGAUUUCGGGACUACUAAAAGAAAUGUCCACGCUGAGUUUGUAGUACACAUGCUUGCUCCUACAAGAGACUUUAUUUUAGUUUUAUAACUAGCUUUAGAACAAAUUUUAAACACAUCUUUUUCUCCUCCUGUGUUACAUUUCAAGGAUGCAAAUAGUUCUUCAUAGACACAAAACUUCCCAUCUUACUGAAGUAAAUUAAAAGUGGGAAACGUUUAAAUCUUACUGCUAUUACAGCUUUUCUCUUUAAAAUGACUGUGAUGGGAAAAUCUAUGUAUCUCCAGACUGCUAUUUUAUUUCAGAAAGAACCCACAGCUUGUUUGUGUGUUUGGUUAUUUUUCUAGUAAAAAUGUUUCCAGCUCAUCUUAAUGUCUGUUUUGAUAGGGCAUCUGAAGGCAGUUUUUGUUGUAAAGGAAUGACUUUCUCAGUGACAUGUUCUUUAGAUCAGGUUUUGAUCUUAAUAACUUAGAUACAUUGUUGUGAAAUCCUGGUAUGGGUCAGGUCCAAGUUUGCCUUGUUAGGGGGAUAGCAAGGUUUGGUUGUUCUUAAGAGUAAGAAAAAUGUAGUUUAUUUUAAAAACAAAAGGCAUGAAUUCUAAAUCUUCAGGUUCUGACAUAAUUUGCAGAUUGUCCUGGUUUCUCAUAUCACCAGUGCCAAAUACAUAGUUUUUUUAAUGGAGGCUAGUGUUUAUCUAAUAGUCCUAAUAUUAAUCUUAGUAAAACCUGUUACUCUGUGUCUGUCUUCUUAGACAACACCAGCUUUAGAUUCACUUUUUGUUUUAUCUUGUUCUUAAAGAAAAUAAAAUAGGUAUAAUAUUUUUGACAUAGUAAGUUCAACGUAAUUUAGAAAUGUGCAAAUGACUUUUGGGAUCAGUGUGGUGCUGUUUCAUGAACAACACCGUUCUGUGGUAUGUGGGGACACAUCUAUGUUUCGUGCCUAUUUGUGGCCUUGGGGCAGAUGGAAAAAAGGAGCAUAGGAAGUUCUCUGGAAAUCUUCAAUGAACAAUUGCUUUAGCACUUCACAACACACAGAACAAUAUUCUUAUGCAUUAAUAUUACUACUUAAAUAGAUCUCUGCUGGUUAUACCUACAUGACCAUAGCCAUCAGUAUGAAGAGAACUGUAGAAAAAGAAAUACUAGUCAAGCUUUAGCUUUUGCUAGUGUACAAAUGUUGCAAAAUAAAAAUCAAGGUGGAGAAAUUGUCUACCUUUGAUUUUUGCAUUUUGCAAUAUUGAUUGCUGGUUUUUUAACUAUAGUAAUAAUUCCAGGAAUUUAUGCAUGAAAAACCAAAAUGACAUUACAAAGAUGGGGCCCAUCAAUUGUUCUCACUAUUUUCUCUUUUGUAGAUUGAUAAAAUCAUGAGUUCUAUAGAUGCUGGAAUUAAUACUGGACUGGGAGAGAUGAGUGAUCACACUACAAGUAAGGAAAAACAACUAACUAUUGUUUAAUUUUGACUUAACUGUCUAUAGGAAAACUGUGGAUAAGAUAUUGCUAAGUAACCCACUGUGUUGAAACAAUUUGUAGGUAUUUGAAUAACCAUGAGCAGAAUCAAUGUUGUUUACUGUUGGAGAUGCAUUAGGUCCAGUAUCCUGGAGCUGUUACUUUAAAUAGCAUAUUGGAGUCAUUAAUGUUGUUUUGAAAUCUUACCAGAAAGAAUACUCCAUUAAUGUCUCAUACUGAGGCCUUCCUGCUAGGGGGAUAUUUUCCAAUCUUUUUCAGCUGAGUUGUUGUUUGGAAUGAUGGGACCCCGAGUAUAUACAAUCCAAUAGCUGCUGACACUUUUUAAAGCAUCAUGUUAUCUAAUGCUGCUUCAAUCAAAUAUUUGGCACAGGGCUGAAAAUGUUGCUGACAGCCAGUGACUGGUGUUAGCAAUGUCAGGAAAAUUUACAAACCUUCCUUACCAUGGUGAAUUCUAAGAACUCCAAGUCAUGCCUAGCCUUUUGGUGUGUCAGUAUAAACCUGUGCAACAGUGCUGAUAAGAAUUUUGAAAGUAUUUUACUGUAUCUUCCUAACUCAUGGAAAGAAAACUGACUUGUAUGUCUGGAUAAUUUGAUCUUGAGGCAAAGCUAUGUUAAUUCACCUACACUGGUAUACCCCUGUUAGCAAUUCCAAUUACUUGGUUUUAUCUGUUGGACAGGAGACUAUGUACCUUACUGCUUAAAGUUAAAAAAAAAAAAAAGAAAAAAAG